rnacentral:rRNA from 2 species
CACUAUGCUUAGCCCUAAACACAAAUAAUUAUAAAAACAAAAUUAUUCGCCAGAGUACUACCGGCAACAGCCCGAAACUCAAAGGACUUGGCGGUGCUUUAUACCCUUCUAGAGGAGCCUGUUCUAUAAUCGAUAAACCCCGAUAAACCUCACCAAUCCUUGCUAAUACAGUCUAUAUACCGCCAUCUUCAGCAAACCCUAAAAAAGGGACAAAAGUAAGCUCAAUAAUAACACAUAAAGACGUUAGGUCAAGGUGUAACCUAUGGAGUGGGAAGAAAUGGGCUACAUUUUCUACCCAAGAAAAUUUAAUACGAAAGCCAUUAUGAAAUUAAUAGCCAAAGGAGGAUUUAGCAGUAAACUAAGAAUAGAGUGCUUAGUUGAAUCAGGCCAUGAAGCACGC